rnacentral:rRNA from 1 species
UACAGAGGGUGCGAGCGUUAAUCGGAAUUACUGGGCGUAAAGCGCACGUAGGUGGCUUUGCAAGUCGAUUGUGAAAAUCCCCGGGCUUAACCUGGGAACUGCAGUCGAGACUUGCUUUGCUUGAGUAUGGGAGAGGGAGGUGGAAUUUCCGGUGUAGCGGUGGAAAUGCGUAGAGUAUCGAAGGAACAUCAGUGGCGAAGGCGAACCUCCUGGACCAAUA